AGCUGCCGCAAAAAAACGCUUAAAUAGAAAGAAGCAACAAACACUGUGAAAUGUCCCCGAGUCGAAAAACGCUUAUGCAAACUGGUACUCGAGCAUCACCAACAUCAUCGCGUCUUCCUCAGCUCCAAUCACGAUCUAGAUUUCUCGUCUGCGUCCAAUCAUUGCCGCAGUUUCAGCUUCUCACCAUCGAAUUGUGGAUUCGCGAUUACAUAGUUAAUUUUCUCAGUUCGUUCAUAUCGUUCAGCAUCAUGCUCAUGGUUCGUUAUUGUAUUCCAACCUCAACAACAUUGCAGACGUAUUCAUUUUAGAAAUCAAAGUUUUGGUUCGAACGAUUCAAGCUUAAUAACAACAAAAAUCCGGAUUGAAGCUAAGCUUACCGGUUUUGAUGCGGAGGCAAAAAUAGUGGGCAUGGAAAGUGACUUUGUCGUGAAUGAAAAUUGCUCCCAAGCUUAAUGAAUUCCCAAUUCUUUAGUGUUGUUAGUUUUGAAUCCAAACCAGGAGAAGUCAGUAGGCUGCUUGGACUUUGCAGGAUGUCAUAUGCGGACUCAUUUGUGGGGUGAACUCACUUUAUCGAUUGGAAAGGUUAUUCAUGAUUAAAGAUGGGAACUUCAUGGCCAUGAUUAAAAUCAACUAAAACUUGUUUGCACACGAAUCAAUUUUUGGAUGGGAGAUGAAUGUCCAUGAGGCAUGAAGAAUAAAUAUUGUGAAGUUUUCUUUAGGAUUUUUUAGAAAAGGAAAGGGUUUACUUUGGUCAAACUUACAUAUUUUUGUAAUUUUAUUUGUAAAUGAUGUAAUGAAUGGAUUGAAUGUUUAUGUAUGAAAUGGUUAUAUUGAAAUUCAUUCAUAA